rnacentral:lncRNA from 1 species
CAUUACACAAGCAAGCAAAUAGAGUCGUAGGAUUUGGAGAAGCGAUGAACCUGAGAAACUUUUCUCCCGCAGUCAUCACUCUCACUCUCCCAGAGUCAUCGAAGUCCAGUGGCAAGACAAAUGAGGCCUGGAGAUGACCAGAACUUAGUGGAUGAACUUGAGGUCUUCCGUGUCUAACCAAGCUCUAAGAAUUCCAGAGGGCCUGCAUCAGCUGCCUUCGUGAUCAUUAGAACAAACUGUUCUCAUCUGCCCAUUCUUCUGGGGAAAGUCUUCCCACGCUUGGGGUAGACAUUCCCCUAACUCACUGAUGGGUUUGAGGCCCAUAGGUUCCCCUUAAUUUGGUUUAGCCCAUCUGCCAAGAUGGUUUUA